rnacentral:rRNA from 1 species
UACGGAGGGUGCGAGCGUUGUUCGGAAUCACUGGGCGUAAAGCGAGUGUAGGCGGCCCACUAAGUCUGAUGUGAAAGCCCGGGGCUCACCCCCGGAAGUGCAUUGGAAACUGGUGGACUCGAGUCCCGGAGAGGAGAGUGGAAUUCCUGGUGUAGCGGUGAAAUGCGUAGAUAUCAGGAGGAACACCGGUGGCGAAGGCGGCUCUCUGGACGGUGACUGACGCUGAGACGCGAAAGCGUGGGGAGCAAACAGG